rnacentral:rRNA from 1 species
AGAGUUUGAUCCUGGCUCAGAUCAACGCUGGCGGCGCGCUUAACACAUGCAAGUCGCACGAGAAAGUGGAGCAAUCCAUGAGUACAGUGGCGUACGGGUGAGUAACACGUGGAUUAUCUACCUUCUAGUGGGGAAUACCUCUGGGAAACCGGAGACAAUACCGCAUAAGCUCGUGAGAGGAAAGCAGCAAUGCGCUGGAAGAGGAGUCCGCGGCUGAUUAGCUAGUUGGCGGGGUAAUGGCCCACCAAGGCGAAGAUCGGUAGCCGGCCUGAGAGGGCACACGGCCACACUGGCACUGAAACACGGGCCAGACUCCUACGGGAGGCAGCGGUGGGGAAUCUUGCACAAUGGGCGAAAGCCUGAUGCAGCGACGCCGCGUGAGCGAUGAAGCCCUUCGGGGUGUAAAGCUCUUUCGACGGGAACGAUAAUGACGGUACCCGAAGAAGAAGCUGCGGCUAACUACGUGCCAGCAGCCGCGGUAAUACGUAGGCAGCGAGCGUUGUUCGGAAUUACUGGGCGUAAAGAGUGUGUAGGCGGUGCUCUAAGUCUGUUGUGAAAUCUCCCGGCUCAACUGGGAGGGUGCGGCGGAAACUGGAGUGCUCGAGUGUGGGAGAGGUAAGCGGAAUUCCUGGUGUAGCGGUGAAAUGCGUGGAUAUCAGGAGGAACACCUGUGGUGUAGACAGCUUACUGGACCACGACUGACGCUGAGACACGAAAGCGUGGGUAGCAAACAGGAUUAGAUACCCUAGUAGUCC